rnacentral:rRNA from 1 species
UACGUAGGGUGCAAGCGUUGUCCGGAAUUAUUGGGCGUAAAGAGCUCGUAGGCGGUCUGUCACGUCGGCUGUGAAAACCCGAGGCUCAACCUCGGGCCUGCAGUCGAUACGGGCAAACUAGAGUACUGCAGGGGAGACUGGAAUUCCUGGUGUAGCGGUGAAAUGCGCAGAUAUCAGGAGGAACACCGGUGGCGAAGGCGGGUCUCUGGGCAGUAACUGACGCUGAGGCACGAAAGUGUGGGGAUCAAACAGG